CCUGGGUGUUUGAAAGAAGCAAUGCUCCCUCUUUCAAGGGAGGGAGAGAAUAAUCUCAACAGUGGGGAAAGAACUACAGUCAGUUUUCAUACAGACAUGUCUCUGGAUGUCUAGCAGCCAAGCUAUAUAGCACAACUGCAAGAGCAGCACUUAGCCAUCUUCUACUUGUGAAGGUCUCUGUGGCAGCUGGCAGAAGACAAAAAUGAGAAGCAAACCCAGACACAGAGGACUGCAAACACCCCAAACGCAAAGGGUAACACCAGCAAAGUGCCAUCGGAAGUGUGGGCGGAUGGAAAAUUUAGGGUCAACACUUCACAGAUACAGCUCUGAUGGGCAUCCCUGAGACUGGGAGUCACUGGAGCAAAGUCCUGUCCCUUAGAAUUAGGGUUAUGAGGACUGCUGGCCAACUCAAGAAGCAGGUCACCUAUUUUGUCAGCGCUACAGAAAACAGGAAGAGGGGAAACCGUUCUAAAUACUAAGACAGCAUUCUAUUUACGACAGCUGCUAAUUAUGUUGUCAUCUACAGGCACCUUACUUACAUUCACAAUGUCAGCAGUGGCCACAGAAUCAAUCUUUUCGGCCGCAGCACUUGGUGAUGUGUAUGCCCCAGAUGCCAGGGCCUGAGAGCCAAUUUCAUCAAGCAAGCCUUCUGAAGACUCCACAGACAUCAAGUAAGCUGCCUUCAGCUGGUUUCUGUCAAGAAUAUUGAGGAAAAUUAGCAUAGCAGCUUGCUUAGGAAUCUGUAAAUAUGAUGGUAGACAAUCAGCAGGAAAAGGAUAAUGUGGAGUGCAUUUAUUUACAUUGUCUUACUUGCAUUUGCAAUGCAUUUUGUAAUUCUGUCACAGUUACAGGAUGCCUAUUACUUUAAAACGGUCAUCCGUGAGACUGUGGAAACCACAAGGCAUUCUUGAAGGCAGGCAUGAGAGAAAAUCCAGCUUCAUGGGAGGAAAAACAACCCUCAGUUAAAUAGGCCAAAAAAGUGUUGUAAUCAUGUAUUUUAUGAAAUCAUGUAAAACCUAACAAUUUAUUAGGUUUCCAUAGUUUAAGAGUAAAGUAGAUUUUCUAUACA